GGAAGAAAAUUAGAAAAUCUUAGUCUGCCUGUUUGGACAUAGUGUUUUGCUGCCAUGGACGGCAGCAAAAGUCUUAACGUCCCAUGGACGGGACGUUUAAGACGUACACGUCGUUUUAAGAAAGCUUGAAUCAGGCAGACAUAGAUUUUCUUAUUUUCGGAC
rnacentral:ncRNA from 1 species